CAGCCCUGGUGUGUUUUACCAGCCUGGGCUUCAUCUGCAGCCAAACCAGGGAUGCUGGCACCCACAGCCCAUCAGGUGAUGGAUGAGCAAGGGCUGUGCUCGUCCCCAGGUGCUGUCAGGGUGCUGGCUCCCAGGGGCAGGUGCUGGGCCAGGUGCUGCACUGAGGGGCUUUGGCGUGUGCCACAGGUGGGCAUGCAGCAAGGUGCUUUCAGUGGGAUGGCAAAGGAUUUUGGUUAAGUCCCCUGAGGAGCAGAGCAAAUAUGGGCAUGUCAGAAAGGCAACAGGCUUCCCUGGACCUGGGGUGUUUGUGUGCCGUGCCGUGGGUGCUGCUUGCAUGCUCGUAAGCGCUCCUUGGUUCAGGUCUGGGCUGUAGUGUGGAGGUUUUCACUGGUAUCAUAGCACACAGGGGACAAAUAAUACGGAGCAGAGGAAGGCACAGGGAUAUAAAAACAAUCCCCUCAGCAAAUGGAGGGCCAUGGCACAUCAAUUUCUUUCUGCAGUGUCUGGUGGUUGUUGCAGGAAGACGCGGUGCAGCCACCUCACCAAAAGACCCCCCUGGCUUUGUGGUACCUGGGUCUCCCCAUGGCAAAGAGACAACAGGAGCAUAUUGUCGGUGUCUUCUGGUCUCUGAGCCUCCUGGGAGCCCGAGGAGGAUACAUGAGUUGAUUUCUUCUGGAAGGGGGAUGAGCAGCCUCCAACUUGCCAGCCCAGGAAGCAGCAGCCCCAGAUGGGUGUCCCUAUGUCGUGUCCAAGUCACAGCUACAGCGUUUGAACAGUUCUGAUUCUGCAAGAACUGGUAGAUCAGAGGAGCCAUGAGCACCGUGUGAAACAGUCUGCAAAAUGCUCCACAAAGGAAUUUGGCUCCUUUGGUGCUUCCUGCACAGAUUUUCAUGAGACUCAGCUGUCUGAUCCACUCAUCCCCACCUCUGGGCUGCUCUAGCCCAAUUCCUGUUCAUUUCCUUUCUUCCAUUACCAGCAAAUCCCUGACCCUGUUAGACUCACAUCAGGUGAAGUAUUUUCCUCUUUUCCGCUUCUUUCCCUCUUGCCUCACUUCCCUGCCCUCCCUUGUCCUGAGGGCUGUGAGAUUUGGCAGGCCACAGCCAGGACCUCAGCACUCCAGGAAUUUACUUUAUCGUUGGCAGAGACCUGCCAUCCUGGGCAAGCUUUUCCUCUGUGCAGGACACUGUGUGUGAUGGAUGGAGGUCACCUCCUGUGCACACGGAGUGUCUGAGUGUGCACAGUCUUUUGAUACCACAUCACAGCAUCUGGAGAAAUUGCCCGUGGGCUUUCUGCAGGACUGCUUGUGCAAGAACUGCAUACAGACACGUGCCUACUACUGCCACGUGGAGACAGGUACAGAGAAGCCUGAAAGCCAUCAGGCUGUAUUUUAAGUCUAUUCUCUCCACCCUUUUCUAAAAGAGCAUCCCUCUUAUGUCUCUAAAACUUCACCUUCCUGCAUGUCUUCCUCAGUUUGUACAGCACUGGGCACAUCGUGGGAGGAGGACAGCAGAGCUGAUCCCUUGUAACCUCUUACAGGCACAACUUGCUAUGCACACCGCAGCAGACACCUCCUGAGCACGUGUGUGUCAGGGAUACACUGGCAGGGAUCACCUCUUCCGAGAGAGACUUGGACAGAGCUGUGAAAAAGUUCCUGACUGACAGCAUACCUUGGUUAAAAAUCCCUUCACGAGCUUGCCUGGGACCAGCCAUCGAGGGCCAUCCCUUCUGAGAACAGGAGCAACUCCUGUGCAGGAAUUAGCAGUCAGCACACCUGUUACUACAAGAGACUCCAGCUGAAAAGAGAAGAAGAAGGGGAAAAAAAAAAAAAAGAAAAAUAAAAGAGAGGCACUUCAAUUUGACGCAAUUAUCUCAAUUUUCCCAGGAUAAGGAUCCUUGAGAUAUUUAUCUGAUUUACAAGGGUGUGCUGCAAGGUGGCAGGCACAGGGCCUUAAAGAGACAUCCAUCGACUCCCUGUGUGUGGUGGGGGGAGAAGAAAGAAAAAGGUGAGUGAGAAGGAGACACUGGAAGAAGAACCCUUUAGAACUGGGAAAGGAGGAAGGAUGCCUGCUCACUCUGUAUGUUUUCGCUUGUGAUUAAUAAUUUGUGGAAGGCUGUGUUGACCACAAGCAGUGCUGACGGCUGGUUCAGAGAGGUGCCUGGGCAGAAGCAGAAGGGAGCAGGCAGGGAUGGAGAAGUGGCAGAAAUCCUGCUGUGGACUAGGAUGCCUUUAAACUUUUAGCAGUUGGUACCUGGGUGAAGUAUUUCCUGAAGAAUUUCUUUUUCUUGAGUUUCUACUGGGGAAAUGAUGAGGGUUAGUUUUAUAUCAGGCCUGGAGAACUUGCUGGAAAGCAGAGUUGGCUCUCUGAAUUUGGCUAUAGUUAGACAAGAUUUUGGUGGGGUUCAUUUAGUUUAAGUGCAGAUGUUCUGGGCUCGGAAAAUGCAGAUUUUCCUAUACCCCCUUUUAGGAAAGGAGUGGAAAUUGGUGGAGAGCAGAACUCACCUGACGCCCUUGAAUGACCUCCUUUGGCUGGGCUGUACCGCUCUCAUCACAAGACAGGCUGGGCCAGGAGCCCUCAUUUUCUCCCAUGCAACGCCAUCAGACCUUCUGCUUUGUGCCUCUCCCCUGCUCUGCCCCUUAGUCUUCCUCCUCACCUUUGCAGCUUACAUGACUCUGGAGGCCCUCUGCGAUUUGGAGGAUGCAGCUUUGCUCCCACUGUCACCCCUGACUUCACAUCAUCUCUACAGGGAGGCAGCACUGCCUUGUCACAUCACACCCUGCUCCCGUGAUUUGACAAUAGAGAGAAAAAACGAAGGGAUUCAGUGGAGUGGCGAGUGAAACAGGGAAGUGGAAGAGGAGGAGGAGAGAAAGGGAAGAUCAGAGGGAGUGAGAGCAAACGCUUGUGGCUUAACACGGCUCGGGAAGUCACCUGGGGGAGUCAUUGACUGUGGGGUCACUGACCUUUGUGAGUAAAUUUCUGUAAUAAACUGGAGAAAGUACUGGCAGGCCCAAGUGAUUUACUUUAGAAAUUGCUGUAGUUCAGCUCCCCUCAAAUGCAAUUCAGCAGGACUGUUAGCAGGUGCAAAGCCCUUGCCAGCCUUAAUAUGGAUUACUUUUCUUUGUCCCUUAAGUUCAUCUCUUUACAGCACAGUUAUGUUCUCAUAAAUUUGUUGCAGUGUGUUUGCGGGCAGCUGGCCCAUCGGAAAGGAUUUGUGUCCACUGGAAAAGCCUGUUGGAUAAAGUUCACUUUGGCAAUACGCCUUCGUAAGGCCUUUCCUCAGCCGCAUUGCUCUGCAAAACAAUACCUUAGUUAAAGACCAACUGGCUUCACUGUGACAGAGGCAGAAACCCUCAUUUCACACGUGGACACGUGUGUGUCCUCACUGGCUGCGGAUCUCCCAUAUCCUGCCCUCCUGUCUGAUAACUGACUUUGAUGAAUGAGGAGCAGCCUUAAAAUGAGGGGAGAGAUUUGCAGAUCCCUGUUGUAAAUGAAGAUCCUUGUGCCACUAGAAAAGGGUUAUAAGGGAAUUUGUAAGUCUCCCUUGCACUGCAGAGGUCUAAUUGUUCAGCUGUGUAUAUUAGUAUUGCACGAUGUUGGUAUUAGUAUAGAGUGUGUGAUAUUGGUAUUGGUAAUAGAGUGUAGGCUGUUCUCUGUUAAAAGCCUUGUGAUAAUGAAUAUAUACCACAUAUGUCUUCUCUACAGAGUGGAGCACAUGGGGAGUGAUGUAGGGAGGUUGUUUAGGGUUAGUAUUUGAGUAGUGGGAUUCUGCUCUGUAGGAAGGGACCAGAAUGUUACAAAUUUUAGUGCAGCUGGGUGUAUUACAUAUAUCCCUGUUUAUCUUCAUCUUGGCCCUUCUGCCCACCGUGUCCUCCAGUACAGAGCAGAGAACCACAUGGAUACUUGAUUCCACAGACCCUCUUGUUUAGGACUAUGCUGUCCCAGCAGCCAGUGUCUUGUUCUUUCCUUCCACCUACAUGUCCAUCUCUCCAAGCAGCUCACAAAUGCAAUGGUUGCUCUGUGAAGGAGCUGUGGUUCCCAGAGGUGGGUGAUGCAAAUACCAGAGGCACUGCACUCGCUGCAGAAACAAUGGCACGUGGGACGUCCUGGAGAGUCGUGUCGUGUUGUGUGGCAGCCGUGAUUCCAAAGUGCUCUGGAUCUGUGCGGCUGGAGAGGACACCCUUUGUCCCUUUGUGUGUCUGUACCCAAAUGUGAGUGGUGACCCCAUGGAUGUGGCUGUGGGGGAAGUUCCCAUAGGGACAGAAGCGCUGUUCAGCAUGGAGGAGGAAGGUUGUGGAUACGGAAAGGCCCUUGUCACCAUCAGGAGCUUGUGGGACAGCCCUAGUAUACCCUGGUAAGGAGGUUAAUGUGAGGAGCAUUUCCAGCCCUGGUGCCAGGCACCCACUGGCUCCUGCAGCCAUUUCUCCCUGCCUGCCCCUUCCCACCGAGCUGCCUUUUAUUCAUGAGCUGCACUGCACGUCGAGGAGGAAAGAAAGAAAAACAGGAGGAAAAAACCUCAAAGACCAGCGUGUUCUUGUUGUUUGAUCUUUGGGGAAUGUUGAAGAAAUCUCUUAGGCCUCCGUCUGCCUGGCUGGGCUGGUAAGGAGAUUACAGGCCUCGUGUUUCCCCAGGAAAACACCCGGGCGCCAGGCCUGGCACGCUAAUCCAGACAAAGGAGAACAGCGGCCUAAUUAAUUCUCAUGUCUCCGAAUCUGAUAACAGCACAGUACACAGGCGAGUCCGUAAGGACUUAAUGAGUUUAAUCGACUGCACUUGAUGAUUUUAUUUGAAACCUUGUGCCACACAUUCAACUACGAAAAAUGCACUUGAACUUGAUUGGCAGCCGUAAUCCAGGCAAAGCCGCCUUAAUCCGUGGAGCUGGAGAAUGGGGUGGCCGUGCUCCUCCCCAGCCGAGGGAGGAUGGAGCUGGGUGUGGGGGUGACAUUUAGGAAGGAUGCAAAGGAUUGGGAACAGGGAGAGCACGGGGAGUCUCUCAGGGAGGCCGGCGUCUGCAGGGGCUGAGCCAGGAAUGUCUGGCUGUGCUUAUCUGGUUUACUCCCGUAUGUAAAUACCUCUGUGAAUGUAUGCAGGCAUGCACAAACAGUGAUUUGGCUCAAAAAGGGGCACUAGGCUGAGGGAAGAAAUAGCAUGGAAGCCUGCUUUGAAAGUCCCUUGCCCCCCACCCUCUUCCAUUUAAAGUAAUUUGCAAAAGAUUUUCAAAAUUAUAAACCAAUUUGCAAAUAAACGAUCGUGAUUAAUGGCAUAUUCUUUAAGAGGUGACAGAUCGGUAAUAGAUCCGUAAUCCCCCUUAUUAUGCAGGAACCAUUAACAGCAGUAGGCGUUAAGAGACUGCAUUAAGGCUCGAAUAGGCUCCAGCUAUGUCUCUGGAGCAGAGCAGGUCAAGUUUUUGUUGCUAUGGCUUCUUUACCUAUAGCUGUGCUCAUAAUUGGUAGAAAGCAACAUAUCUCGCCGGCAGGAGGGUUUCACAGCUUACUCACCCCCCCCCGACCCUGUGCUAACACACGUGCUGUCUGGCAGCAGAGGCACAGCCUUCAUCAGCUGGUGAGGGGUGGCAGCACCGUGGCAGGAGGGGCUCUUCUGUCCAGGUAUCUCCUCUCCAGACCCCUGAUGUUGUCUCUCUGGGAUGAUCUGAGGUGCUCCUGGCUGUGCCUUGGUGGCUCACGGGGUGCUGGCGGCGAUGGGCUGUCCUGGGAGAGUGGAUCUUCAGGUGGAGGGGUUUGGUGUGAGGAGAAGGGAGUGGGGGCUCCUAUGUGGGGCUGGGAAAGGCUCUGCAGUACCCCCUCACACCCUGCCCAGGUCCAACCCCACCAGCUAAACUGCUCCUUGGAGACACCACUGUAUCAAGAGCAGCGCCAGCAUCUUUGAUUCCCAGAACAGCAAGGAUCUGCUGCGUGGAAAUGAGCAGAUGAUGAUCCAACAGCCAAAGCACACACCUUACUGUUGGAGGAGUGUAAGAGCCCAUUCCAGCAAUUCCCUUCACUCAGAGAAAAUCCCUUCCUGACCUUGGACCCUGCGAGUGGUUUAAUGCCUUGUACACCAAGGGGACAGGCCACACAGAUGCCUGAGAAAUUGUGUCUAUCCCACUGAGCAGCAGCCUAGGGCAGAGGGCACCUCGCCUUGCUCUCUCCUUCACACUCCUGGAGUAUGAUACUGUGAAUUUGUUGUAUUCA